GACGAACGCGGCGGCGUGCUUAACACAUGCAAGUCGAACGGACAGACAGAGAGCUUGCUCUCUUGAAGUUAGUGGCGAACGGGUGAGUAACGCGUAAUCAACCUGCCCUUCAGAGGGGGAUAACAACGGGAAACCGUUGCUAAUACCGCGUACGAUUCAUAGGCGGCAUCGCUUGUGAGUGAAAGGUGGCCUCUAUAUAUAAGCUAUCGCUGAAGGAGGGGAUUGCGUCUGAUUAGCUAGUUGGAGGGGUAACGGCCCACCAAGGCAAUGAUCAGUAGCCGGUCUGAGAGGAUGAACGGCCACAUUGGGACUGAGACACGGCCCAAACUCCUACGGGAGGCAGCAGUGGGGAAUCUUCCGCAAUGGACGAAAGUCUGACGGAGCAACGCCGCGUGAGUGAUGAAGGUCUUCGGAUUGUAAAGCUCUGUUAAUCGGGGACGAAAAGAGUUUCUGUGUGAAUAAAUGCAG
rnacentral:rRNA from 1 species